UUCAGUGAACGAACGUGAAGAGAGACAUUCUCUUAUCGUUUUCAACUUUUUCGAGAAUAGUCCAAUCCCCCAAUAGUCGGCAGAUCUCCAGCGAUUCCAAACCCGACCCAUCUCGAUUCGAACCAAUCCCGAUCGACCCGUUUACCCAAGAUCCAACCUUGUCAGAUGAAUCCACCGAUCCCCAUCCCAGCCUCCUCCUCUCCGGCGAUGGACGCUUCGCCGCUUCUAACCCGCAACAGGCGCAACACCCCUCGCCCCUCUCAGCCCCUCCGAGGCGCAGCGUCGAGGCUCCUCCGCCGCGCAAGCAACCGCCGGAUGAUGCUCCGCGAGCCUUCCGUCAGAGUCCGCGAGGUGGCGGCUGAGCAGCUCGAGGAGAGGCAGAGUCAAUGGGCCUACUCGAAGCCCAUCAUAGCCCUCGAUAUACUCUGGAACUUUGCGUUUGUGAAAUACAAGAAAAUCUAUAUUUAAGAACUGAUAAUUUUUCUUAGUUUUGAAGAUAUUGUGUUUUUUUAUUAUAAACUUAAGUUUUUAUCGAUAUAUUUUUUAUAUACUAUUUAGGGGCCUCAGUUUCGUAUUUCGUAUGGAACCAUGAAUAUCUGAGGAUGGAACCAUGAAUAUCUGAGGAUCGGUAGUAUAAGAUUUCUGAUGCAAGGAUAAUGAAAAUGGUAACGUGAUGUGAAAAUCAAUAACUAUUUUGUUAUUCAACCAUAGGAUCAAACAGAAUAAAAACAGCUACGCCAGUCAAAUGAUGACUUUAUGGUUAUUAUAUCUACUAAAACUCAAUAAUAAUUCAGAAACAUAAUUAUCUGAUACUCUCUUUGUUUCAAAUCAAAUGUCGUUCUAAAUUAUGUCACUCAAAAUAAUAAAUUGUCAAAUGUUUAGUUUUGUCUUUAUUUAACUAUUAAAAUUUUGUUACAUUUAUUUUUAGUUUAAAGGUAAAAAAACUAUUAAUAAUAAAAAUUGCAUUAAAAUCCUAAAAUGAUAUUUGUUUUAUAACAAAAUUUUUAUUAUACAACAAAAUUUAAUAUAAAACAGAAUGAAUAUCAAUUUAUAUUAGAUUUAUUGUAAAAUGUGUUGAUUUACCGUUGUUUUGAUAGUAUUGCAAAUAAACAUUAUGUUUUGAUUAUUUUCACUAACUUUAAUCUUUUAAAUUUAUAGAUCGGAAAUCAAAAUUACAUAUCCAAUCUAUUAAUUGUUGAAUAAUGAGAUUUGCUGAAAAAUAGCUUUAAUAUUGGACCAAAACAAAAUAAUUCAAUUCAAAUCAAUUAUAAAAUAAAGUUGCAAAAUGUUCUAAAACGUAAACCAAUCUAUAUAUUUUGUCGGCAAAUCAAUCUAAUUUAAAAUCAAGAAUCUGCAAAACAAAAAAACUCAUUGGAAACCUUUAAUCUUUUUUUAAACAAACAAAUUUAUCAACACUAAUCACAUGAUUUUGAUGGAGAUCUAAAUAAAUUAAUAAUUAAGUUAUAUAAUAAAAUAAAAAUGGAACAUUCAGUGAACGAACGUGAAGAGAGACAUUCUCUUAUCGUUUUCAACUUUUUCGAGAAUAGUCCAAUCCCCCAAUAGUCGGCAGAUCUCCAGCGAUUCCAAACCCGACCCAUCUCGAUUCGAACCAAUCCCGAUCGACCCGUUUACCCAAGAUCCAACCUUGUCAGAUGAAUCCACCGAUCCCCAUCCCAGCCUCCUCCUCUCCGGCGAUGGACGCUUCGCCGCUUCUAACCCGCAACAGGCGCAACACCCCUCGCCCCUCUCAGCCCCUCCGAGGCGCAGCGUCGAGGCUCCUCCGCCGCGCAAGCAACCGCCGGAUGAUGCUCCGCGAGCCUUCCGUCAGAGUCCGCGAGGUGGCGGCUGAGCAGCUCGAGGAGAGGCAGAGUCAAUGGGCCUACUCGAAGCCCAUCAUAGCCCUCGAUAUACUCUGGAACUUUGCGUUUGUGAUUGUGUCGAUUGCGAUUCUAGGGUUUAGUCCUGAAGAGCAUCCCGAGGUUCCUCUGAGGCUGUGGAUUGCUGGGUAUAGUCUCCAGUGUCUGUUUCACGUUGGUUGCGUAAUUGCUGAGUAUCGACGACGAAGACGCCAAUCUAAUCCUACAACUGAAGAAGGGUCUGAAAAUCACGGGUCUUUCAGCGGAAGCGAAGACGAAUCUGAUGGUUAUGGCGUUGACGACGGUGGUGAUGAUCAUCGAGCUAGGUAAAGUUUCAAUCUUUACUCUGUUUUGAACUCCUUACUCUGUUUACUCUGUUUCAUUGCUCUUUACUCUGUUUUUCAGUUUCGCCAAGCACAUUGAGUCAGCAAACACGAUGUUCUCUUUUGUGUGGUGGAUCAUUGGGUUUUACUGGGUCACUGGUGAUACGGAGGCACUUGCUCAGUCUUCGCCACGUCUCUACUGGUUUGUUGUCUUAAAACAACAAAUCUUUGCUUAUGCUUUUCUCAAAAGAUUGUUUCUUUUGAUCAAAAAUGCUUGGUAACUUUGCAGGUUGUGUGUUGCAUUCCUUGCUUUUGAUGUGAUCUUUGUUGUCAUUUGCGUUGCGGUUGCUAGUCUAAUCGGUAUUGCUGUUUGCUGUUGCUUGCCUUGCAUCAUCGCCAUCUUAUACGCAUUAGCAGAUCAGGUAAGAGAAAGCAUUGUAAUAAGCAAAAGCUACUUGUAAACUCGUUUUGGUUUUGAAUUUCUUCAUUGUUGUUAUUAACAUUUUAGGAAGGCGCGCCUGAUGAAGAGAUAGAGAGACUUUCGAAGUUUAAGUUCCUUACAGUAAAGGAUUCUGAGAAAGUGAAUGGCGAAGUCCAGGAAACUCAAGGAGGGAUAAUGACUGAGUUAGGUGUUGAUUCUCAAACCGAACGUAAGCAACCGUCGGAUGAUGCUCCGCGAGCCUUCCGUCAGAGUCCGCGAGGUGGCGGCUGAGCAGCUCGAGGAGAGGCAGAGUCAAUGGGCCUACUCGAAGCCCAUCAUAGCCC
rnacentral:lncRNA from 1 species